UACGUAGGGAGCAAGCGUUAUCCGGAUUUAUUGGGUGUAAAGGGUGCGUAGACGGGAGAGCAAGUUGGUUGUGAAAUCCCUCGGCUUAACUGAGGAACUGCAACCAAAACUACUUUUCUUGAGUGCUGGAGAGGAAAGUGGAAUUCCUAGUGUAGCGGUGAAAUGCGUAGAUAUUAGGAGGAACACCAGUGGCGAAGGCGAAUU
rnacentral:rRNA from 1 species